AGUGAACGCUGGCGGCGUGCUUAACACAUGCAAGUCGAACGAGAACGGAUUAUAGCUUGCUAUAAUUGUCAGCUAAGUGGCGCACGGGUGUGUAAUGUAUAGGUAAUAUGCCUCUUACUAAGGGAUAACAAAUGGAAACGUUUGCUAAUACCUUAUACUCCUUAUUAACAGAAGUUAAUAAGGGAAAGAUUUAUUGGUAAGAGAUUAGCCUGUAUUGUAUCAGUUAGUUGGUGGGGUAAUGGCUUACCAAGACUAUGACACAUAGCUGGUUUGAGAGGAUGAUCAGUCACACUGGAACUGAGACACGGUCCAGACUCCUACGGGAGGCAGCAGUGGGGAAUAUUGCACAAUGGACGAAAGUCUGAUGCAGCAACGCCGCGUGGAGGAUGACACAUUUCGGUGCGCAAACUCCUUUUAUAUGAGAAGAUAAUGACGGUAUUAUAUGAAUAAGCACCGGCUAACUCCGUGCCAGCAGCCGCCGUAA
rnacentral:rRNA from 1 species